UACGUAGGUGGCAAGCGUUAUCCGGAAUUAUUGGGCGUAAAGCGCGCGCAGGCGGUUCUUUAAGUCUGAUGUGAAAGCCCACGGCUCAACCGUGGAGGGUCAUUGGAAACUGGGGAACUUGAGUGCAGGAGAGAAAAGUGGAAUUCCACGUGUAGCGGUGAAAUGCGUAGAGAUGUGGAGGAACACCAGUGGCGAAGGCGGCUUUUUGGCCUGUAACUGACGCUGAGGCGCGAAAGCGUGGGGAGCAAACAGG
rnacentral:rRNA from 1 species